rnacentral:rRNA from 1 species
UACGGGGGGGGCAAGCGUUGUUCGGAAUUACUGGGCGUAAAGGGCUCGUAGGCGGCCAACUAAGUCAGACGUGAAUCCCUCGGCUUAACCGGGGAACUGCAUCUGAUACUGGAUGGCUUGAGUUCGGGAGAGGGAGUGCGGAAUUCCAGGUGUAGCGGUGAAAUGCGUAGAUAUCUGGAGGAACACCGGUGGCGAAGGCGGCAUCCUGGACCGACACUGACGCUGAGGAGCGAAAGCCAGGGGAGCAAAGCGGGG